UGAACGCUGGCGGCGUGCCUACUACAUGCACGUCGAGCGAACAGAUGAGGAGCUUGCUCCUCUGACGUUAGCGGCGGACGGGUGAGUAACACGUGGAUAACCUACCUAUAAGACUGGGAUAACUUCGGGAAACCGGAGCUAAUACCGGAUAAUAUAUUGAACCGCAUGGUUCACUAGUGAAAGACGGUUUUGCUGUCACUUAUAGAUGGAUCCGCGCCGCAUUAGCUAGUUGGUAAGGUAACGGCUUACCAAGGCAACGAUGCGUAGCCGACCUGAGAGGGUGAUCGGCCACACUGGAACUGAGACACGGUCCAGACUCCUACGGGAGGCAGCAGUAGGGAAUCUUCCGCAAUGGGCGAAAGCCUGACGGAGCAACGCCGCGUGAGUGAUGAAGGUCUUCGGAUCGUAAAACUCUGUUAUUAGGGAAGAACAAAUGUGUAAGUAACUAUGCACGUCUUGACGGUACCUAAUCAGAAAGCCACGGCUAACUACGUG
rnacentral:rRNA from 1 species